rnacentral:lncRNA from 1 species
ACCAGCACCUAGGCGAUGUGACCGUUCUUUUGCCCGGGCCCCAUAUACUUUGAGUAUUUUAACAUAUUGCUGGGCUCAACAUCCAUGGGAUAGUACACUCCUGCCUGGGCCUUGCCCACAGGGAGACUUGUGACAUAUCUCUGCAUGCAUCACCUAGAUGUUGUGACUCUUCUUUUCUACCUGCACCCUGCCAACAGGAAGGAUUGUGACAUAUCGCUGGGCUUAGCAACUAGGUUCUGCCUGCAGGGAAGAUUGUGACAUAUUGCUGGAAACAACACCAACAUAAUGUUGCUCUUUUGCCUGGGACCUGCCCUCAAAAGGCAUUGUGAUAUACUGGUGGGCCAAGCUCGAAGGUGAUGAGGAAUUGUGAUGUAUCACUGGGCCCAGCAUGCAGGUAAUGUGACUCUCCUGCACAGGCCCUGCCCACAGGGGUGAUUGUGGCAGAUUGCUGAUCCCAGCUCCCAUGUGAUGUGCUCUCCUCCACUGCUUCGGCUCUGCUUAAAAAGGGAAUGUGAUGUAUCUCUUGGUACAGCAUCGAGGUGAUGUCUCUCUCCUUUUCUGCCUGGGCCCUGCAUACUUUGUGUAGUGUAGCAUAUGGCUGAGUCUAAGACCUACUUGGUGUGACUCUCCUGCAUGUGUCCUGCCCACAAGGUAUUGUGACAUAUAUUUUCAUUGAUUACCCAAGUAAUG